rnacentral:lncRNA from 1 species
UAGUCCUUACUUGAUUUAACCAUCAAGAGCCAAAGAUCUAUGGCAGCCCAAUUUGGUACAUUCCUAGCCGAGAGACAAUCCACAAACCGACCUCCACUUUUUAAUAAGUCAAACUACACCUAUUAGAAAGCUCAGAUGAGAAUUUUCAUUCAAGCAUUUGACUAUGAUAUAUGAAGUAUCAUAGUAAAUGGACCACACACACCCACUAAAUUGAUUGAUGAUGUGUCUCUCCCUA